rnacentral:tRNA from 1 species
GAGGGCAUGCCUCAGCGGCAGAGUGUGUGCCUAGCACGCACAAGGUCCUGGGUUCAGUCCCCAGCACCUCCA